AUAAAAUCCCGGUAGCUCUCGGUGCGCACUUUGUCCUGCAAGUGAGAAAGCAGAGAAAGAAAGAGAGGAAGAGCGAGAGAGAGCGAGAGAGAGAUAGAUGUAAGUAAUGACACAGUGUCACCAGUACAUUUUCUAUUAGGAAGACAAAACGCGUGUCUCUUGUGGCAACUCGGUGUAAUCCCCCAAUCACUCAGUACUGGAAGUUUAAUUCUGUCGCAAAGCCACAGUUGGAGAUGAUGACGUUAACUAUUAUUUUUUGUCAAAGAACCGAGGAACGAAGAAAAUUAAAAAGCAGAAGACGACAGACGAUGGCUGACCUCUGGAAAAACUUCCCCCGUCUGAACUGUAAAUUUCCAGCUCCUUCAGCGCUCCUCUUGCAUCGACCUUGAGAAGGUUGCUUCUCUAAAUACCGCCCUCCUGACCUGGGUGCUGAAUUUUACCGGAUGACCUCCUCUAGAUGUUAAAAGGAUUUUGAUGGUACUUUUCUGGACGUCCAAAAGACAUUUCAUAACCGCACCCUGACCGAUAAGUUUCCAAAACUUUGUCCUGAACUGCCUUGAUAUUUUUUGUUAGUGUUUGUUUAGGUAUGUUUAAAAAGGUCUGAUCAUUUUUAGGAGAUAAAAUAAAUGUAAAAACUUUU